rnacentral:rRNA from 1 species
AAGUAACAAGGUUUCCGUAGGUGAACCUGCGGAAGGAUCAUUACUGAGUGAGGGUCCCUCGGGGCCCAACCUCCCACCCGUGUAUACCGUACCUUGUUGCUUCGGCGGGCCCGCCGCGCAAGCGGCCGCCGGGGGGGCGUCAAACCCCCCUCCCUAGGCGAGCGCCCGCCGGAGACACCAACGUGAACACUGUCUGAAGUUUUGUUGUCUGAGUUCGAUUGUAUCGCAAUCAGUUAAAACUUUCAACAAUGGAUCUCUUGGUUCCGGCAUCGAUGAAGAACGCAGCGAAAUGCGAUAAUUAAUGUGAAUUGCAGAAUUCAGUGAAUCAUCGAGUCUUUGAACGCACAUUGCACCCCCUGGUAUUCCGGGGGGUAUGCCUGUCCGAGCGUCAUUGCUGCCCUCAAGCACGGCUUGUGUGUUGGGUCGUCGUCCCCCCCGGGGACGGGCCCGAAAGGCAGCGGCGGCACCGCGUCCGGUCCUCGAGCGUAUGGGGCUUUGUCACCCGCUCUUGUAGGCCCGGCCGGCGCUGGCCGACGCUGAAAAGCAACCAACUAUUUCUCCAGGUGACCUCGGAUCACAUAUGAACCCACAUCUCCA